UUUAAUGAGAGUUUGAUCCUGGCUCAGGACGAACGCUGGCGGCGUGCCUAAUACAUGCAAGUAGAACGCUGAAGGAGGAGCUUGCUUCUCUGGAUGAGUUGCGAACGGGUGAGUAACGCGUAGGUAACCUGCCUGGUAGCGGGGGAUAACUAUUGGAAACGAUAGCUAAUACCGCAUAAGAGUAGAUGUUGCAUGACAUUUGCUUAAAAGGUGCACUUGCAUCACUACCAGAUGGACCU
rnacentral:rRNA from 1 species